CUACGGGAGGCAGCAGUGGGGAAUCUUGCGCAAUGGGAGAAAUCCUGACGCAGCAACGCCGUGUGAGUGAUGAAGGCCUUCGGGUCGUAAAGCUCUGUCAGAUGGAAAGAAUAAGUCUGCUGAAAAUAUUGGCAGAUGAUGACGGUACCAUCGGAGGAAGCACCGGCUAACUCCGUGCCAGCAGCCGCGGUAAUACGGAGGGUGCAAGCGUUGUUCGGAAUUAUUGGGCGUAAAGCGCGUGUAGGCGGAUAGAUAAGUCAGGUGUGAAAUCCCUUGACCCAAUCAAGGAACUGCACUUGAAACUAUUUGUCUCGAGUACGAUAGGGGAGGGCGGAAUUCCCAGUGUAGAGGUGAAAUUCAUAGAUAUUGGGAGGAACACCAGUGGCGAAGGCGACCCUCUGGAUCGAUACUGACGCUGAGACGCGAAAGCGUGGGUAGCAAACAGGAUUAGAUACCCCGGUAGG
rnacentral:rRNA from 1 species